GACGAACGCUGGCGGCGUGCUUGACACAUGCAAGUCGAACGGAAAGGCCUGCUUUCCCUUGUGGAUUGCGGGUACUCGAGUGGCGAACGGGUGAGUAACACGCGAGUGAUCUGCCCCCAACUUGGGUAUAAGCCUGGGAAACUGGGUCUAAUUCCCGAUAGGACUGCAGGGUGGUGCCUGUGGUGGAAAACGAUUUUCUAGUGGUUGGGGAUGAGCUCGCGGCCUAUCAGCUUGUUGGUGGGGUAAUGGCCUACCAAGGCGGCGACGGGUAGCCGGCCUGAGAGGGCGGACGGCCACAUUGGGACUGAGAUACGGCCCAGACUCCUACGGGAGGCAGCAGUGGGGAAUAUUGCACAAUGGGCGGAAGCCUGAUGCAGCGACGCCGCGUGGGGGAUGACGGCCUUCGGGUUGUAAACUCCUUUCGACCGCGAGGAAGCCACCUGGUUGGAAGGGUGGUGACGGUAGUGGUAGAAGAAGCACCGGCUAACUACGU
rnacentral:rRNA from 1 species